AGAUUACUCUGAAACAGUCUGGCCCUGGGAUAGUGCAGCCAUCCCAGCCCGUCAGACUUACUUGCACUUUCUCUGGGUUUUCACUGAGCACUUCUGGUAUAGGUGUAACCUGGAUUCGUCAGCCCUCAGGGAAGGGUCUGGAGUGGCUGGCAACCAUUUGGUGGGAUGAUGAUAACCGCUACAACCCAUCUCUAAAGAGCAGGCUCGCAGUCUCCAAAGACACCUCCAACAACCAAGCAUUCCUGAAUAUCAUCACUGUGGAAACUGCAGAUACUGCCAUAUACUACUGUGCU